AGAGCAUGAUAAAUCCACUAAAGGCACUAAAGACUUUCAGCAACUGAAGGCUGGGAUUGACACAGGAAAACUGAGAAAUUUUCCAAGACAUGCUUGGCUUUCAACUCUGGAAAGCUAAAGGAGAGGCACUUCCCAGUCAGGCCAUGCCAUGUCUUGAUCUUACUGCUCAGUUAGAAGCAAUGAGGGGAGGUAUGAGCAGAUCCAGAGGAAGACAACACAACCAUCUGGCGAAGCCUACAGAGAAACCAUUUUGAACACAAAAUAUCUCAGAAAAUAUGGGCUUCCUGAUGAUUCUACUCCGGCAGGAUGU